rnacentral:tRNA from 1 species
GGAAGAGUGGCUGAGUGGUUGAAGGCGCCGCUCUCGAAAAGCGGUAGGGGUGCAAGCCCCUCGUGAGUUCAAAUCUCACCUCUUCCG